GGGGGGGGGGGGGGGGGGGGUGGGGGCGGGGGGGGCGGGGGGGAGGGCCGGGCGUGUGGGGGGCGGUCGGGGGGCGCACGGGUGGGUGAGACGGGAGUAACCUGCCCUGGACUUUGGGAUAACGUCGGUAAACGGGGGCUAAUACCGGAUCGGGGCUCCUGCUGCAUGGUGGGGGUUGUAACUUUUCGGCGUUUGGGGCUGGACUCGCGGCUUAUCAGCUUGUGGGUUGGGUAGUGGCUGACCAAGGCUGUGACGGGUAGCCGGCCUGAGAGGGGGACCGGCCACACUGGGACUGAGAUACGGCCCAGACUCCUACGGGAGGCAGCAGUGGGGAAGAUUGAACAAUGGGCGGAAGCCUGAUGCAGCAACGCCGCGUGCGGGAUGACGGCCUUCGGGUUGUAAACCGCUUUCGCCUGUGACGAAGCGUGAGUGACGGUAAUGGGUAAAGAAGCACCGGCUAACUACGUG
rnacentral:rRNA from 1 species